CUUAGUUUUUAUCUAAUUAAUUUAUUAUAUAUUUAAGUAGUUCAAUUUCAUAGUGGAAUCGUUGUAAAAUGAUAGAUUAAAAUGUAAUAGAAAUUAUGAAAUCAUUCAACUAUCCUCAUAACCUUAUUAUCAUAUUCUUGACGUGAAUCUUCGUCAGACGGGAAUUUUUUGGUACAUUUCACGUUGGAAACCCUCUCGGAAUGAAAUUUAACGAUAGAAGUGUUUUUGUAUGUUAAAAACUCUAUAUCAUGAUUGAUAGUUUAUGGUGGCAAUUUUCUAAAUUUGAUGUAUCCCUAUCAUCACCAGACAUAAGUUUUGCAAGGUUCAAGCUUAAUAUCUUGGUAUAGAUUUUCUACGAUAAUUACAGUUGGGAGUAGCCAUAAAUUAUCUUUCAAAGCUUUAUUGGUUGCCUGGAUUGGAUUUAAAUUGUGUUGAAUAAACAUUAUUUCAUACAAAAGUGGAUCAUUCUUCAAAACAUCUUUUGUUUUAUAGAUUUCAUCAUAGUUUCUAUACAUAACAUUCAUAUACUCUUUAACUGAAUUGAAGUGCUUGGCGUAGUAGUCAAUUGUUCACCUAAAUUAAAAAAAAAUAUAUUUUCACUUCAGAGAUGAUAGUGCUUGUAUUUUAAAAGAAUCAGGUCAGAGCGUUGCAAUUCUGUUCAGUCCAUGAGCAAGACAAGUGAUAUGCAACAUAAUUGGAAAAUGUUGUUUAAGGUUUUCGGUUGCUUUAAUACAAUAUGAAGCUCCGUUGGUAAUAAAAACCUUCAGUCUUUCUCCUCUGAAAUCAGAGACAAGAACGUUGCUGAUACUUUUUGCAGCGACACUUGUAGUCAUUGGAUACCUUCCAAAUUAAUGAGGUAAGGACAACCCAAAAAUUAACUAUAUAAAGGACCAACCAACACUGUAGUCAUGGACCCCUGUCGAGUGUAAGUAGUUUCGUCCAAUGCAAGAAAUAUAUCCUUCCCCUCAAGUUUUUUAAAAUCUUGGUAAACACUAUUUUACUUUUAGACUCCAUUGACUUGGUGAUGGAGAAGCGAGGGGGAAUAAUUACUUUUCCAGUGUAAAUUUCCAUAAAUUUAACAAAAUUUGAUGAUUAAUGAUAUGGAGUGGAAUAUUGUAGGAGACAUGCUUCUUGGUUAUAUCUUAUGUAAAAUUGGAAUGUUCAUAGUUGGAAGUAAUUAUAUGACUUGUAUACAGUUUCAAACUCCUUUUGUGAGUUUGGGUUUUACUUUGUUGUUCUACUCUGAACAUCUUCUAGACUAUAGUUCCAUAAUUACAAAGAUGGCAUGCCAAAAAUCCUUGUCGUAACUCCAUAUAUUUUUACAUAAAUUAUCAGCAAUCAAAUAAUAUUUAUCAAUUAAUUUACCUUUAUAGUAUUAAUGCCAUUAUAUCAUAACAUUUUUAUUUUAUUUUAGCAUGCGCAAAGGAAGAUUACAAACUAUCAAAUUAACAUAAAAUCUAUUUUUAACUA
rnacentral:lncRNA from 1 species